GACGAACGCUGGCGGCGUGCCUAACACAUGCAAGUCGAACGGUAAGGCCUUGCACUUGUGCGGUGCUGGUGUGGCGAACGGGGGAGUAACACGCGAGGAACCUGCCCUUGUCAUUGGGGGAACUUCAUGAAACUGGAGCUAAUACCCCACAUGAGCUCUUUAUGCAUGGGUUUUAUGGUAAAAUGUCGUCUGUUGGGGAUGGACACGCGGCUUAUCGUCUUGUUGGCUAGGUGGUGGGUUACCAAGGCUUUGACGGGUUGCCGGACUGAGAGGGUGACAGGGCACAUUGGGACUGAGAUACGAGCCAGACUGCUCCGGGAGGAAGCAGCGGGGAAUUUUGCACAAUGGGCGGAAGCAGGAUGCAGGAACGCCGCGUGCGGGAAGACGGUCUUUGGGUAGUAAAGCGCUUUAGACUGGGACGAAGAUUGAGUGACGGUAAUGGGUAAGGAAGCACCGGCUAACUACGUG
rnacentral:rRNA from 1 species